GACGAACGCUGGCGGCGUGCUUAACACAUGCAAGUCGAACGGAAAGGCCCUGCUUUUGUGGGGUGCUCGAGUGGCGAACGGGUGAGUAACACGUGAGUAACCUGCCCUUGACUUUGGGAUAACUUCAGGAAACUGGGGCUAAUACCGGAUAGGAGCUCCUGCUGCAUGGUGGGGGUUGGAAAGUUUCGGCGGUUGGGGAUGGACUCGCGGCUUAUCAGCUUGUUGGUGGGGUAGUGGCUUACCAAGGCUUUGACGGGUAGCCGGCCUGAGAGGGUGACCGGCCACAUUGGGACUGAGAUACGGCCCAGACUCCUACGGGGGGCAGUAGUGGGGAAUAUUGCACAAUGGGCGGAAGCCUGAUGCAGCAACGCCGGGUGCGGGAUGACGGCCUUCGGGUUGUAAACCGCUUUCGCCUGUGACGAAGCGUGAGUGACGGUAAUGGGUAAAGAAGCACCGGCUAACUACGUG
rnacentral:rRNA from 1 species